rnacentral:ncRNA from 1 species
UCGACACAACGGCUUCCUGGCGUGUCGGGCAAAUUCAAUGGAGCA